rnacentral:rRNA from 1 species
AUUGAACGCUGGCGGCAUGCCUUACACAUGCAAGUCGAACGGCAGCAUGAUCUAGCUUGCUAGAUUGAUGGCGAGUGGCGAACGGGUGAGUAAUACAUCGGAACGUGCCCUGUAGUGGGGGAUAACUAGUCGAAAGAUUAGCUAAUACCGCAUACGACCUGAGGGUGAAAGUGGGGGACCGCAAGGCCUCAUGCUAUAGGAGCUGCCGAUGUCUGAUUAGCUAGGUGGUGAGGUAAAGGCUCACCAAGGCGACGAUCAGUAGCUGGUCUGAGAGGACGAUCAGCCACACUGGGACUGAGACACGGCCCAGACUCCUACGGGAGGCAGCAGUGGGGAAUUUUGGACAAUGGGGGCAACCCUGAUCCAGCAAUGCCGCGUGUGUGAAGAAGGCCUUCGGGUUGUAAAGCACUUUUGCCCGGAAAGAAAUCGCACUUACUAAUAUUAGGUGUGGAUGACGGUACCGGAAGAAUAAGGACCGGCUAACUACGUGCCAGCCGCCGCAGUAAAAC